UUCUAUUUGGUUUUCCCCUUUUUUCCCCUCCCCCCACAAAAAUCGUUGGUAUAAUUUGUCGAUUUUCAAGCUCACAAAAACACUUUCACGCACAAGAGUGAAGGCUGCAGGCAAUAUAGUACUCGAAGGAAAGUGUAAAGUGCACACUUGCGCCAACUUGGCUAAGAUGCGAGCGUUUCUGGCGCGUGCCACAUCCUACGGCAUUGCUGUGACGCUUGUCAACUUCGUGGUGCAGGAAACUCUGCGCCUCAGCGUGCGUGAGUGAACCGAGUUGACGGAUCACGCACUGACACGGACCACACAUCCAAUCCCAUCCAUUCCACUUCAGUCUCAGAUCAGAUCGGAGCAUAUAUAAUCAGUGGUGGCUCGCAUGGUUCCCUCGGCGUAUAAUUUGUGGUUGUCUGUCUCUCCUCACUUUAAACAUUGACAAGUUUCGUGUUUUGUUCGUACAACAAACAAACAAACUCCGGAGCAGCAACAACAGCAACAACAACAACGUUAUUUAUUGUGGCAAGGUUGGCACAACUGGCGAUUGUCUGGCAGCGCAUUAUAAAAUAUUCAUUACGCAUACGCCAUGUAGCACAAUUAGCCAUACAGCCAAUGCUCCCUGCAUAGUUAAUGGCAAGCAUAUGGCAUCGCCAGCUGAACCUGCAGCGCCUAAUGGAGACAAUGUCUGGCCUCUACAUUUGGCUAUUAAGCCAUACGCUUACUGGAUGUGUUGAAGGAUCAAUUCGCUGGCAAGGAUUAGCGGCAGAUUUUGUGCGGAAUUCACUCGAAGGACAAUCGUCCAUCUUUGCCAGAAGUAGGUUGGAGGUCUCUUUCAAGGGUUCGAGUUUGGAAAAAUUAUCAUUAUCCUAGUUUGUAUUUUGAGGCCAUAGCUUGAGAAAUUGUUACUACACGUGAUAAGCAAUUUAAAUUUCCACUAAAGUAUGUUUCACACAAGUGUUUCUCGUAAUAAAUCAAUUUAAUUUAUUCAUUAAACAA